GGUGGGUUGGCCGAGUGGUCUAAGGCAGCGGUUUGCUAAACCGCGGGGGCCUAAACAGCCCCACGCAGGUUCGAAUCCUGCACCCACCG
rnacentral:tRNA from 1 species